rnacentral:rRNA from 1 species
CGCCCCCGCCCCUACGGGAGGCAGCAGUGGGGAAUAUUGCACAAUGGGCGAAAGCCUGAUGCAGCGACGCCGCGUGAGGGAUGACGGCCUUCGGGUUGUAAACCUCUUUCAGCAGGGACGAAGCGCAAGUGACGGUACCUGCAGAAGAAGCACCGGCUAACUACGUGCCAGCAGCCGCGGUAAUACGUAGGGUGCAAGCGUUGUCCGGAAUUACUGGGCGUAAAGAGUUCGUAGGCGGUUUGUCGCGUCGUUUGUGAAAACCAGCAGCUCAACUGCUGGCUUGCAGGCGAUACGGGCAGACUUGAGUACUGCAGGGGAGACUGGAAUUCCUGGUGUAGCGGUGAAAUGCGCAGAUAUCAGGAGGAAUACCGGUGGCGAAGGCGGGUCUCUGGGCAGUAACUGACGCUGAGGAACGAAAGCGUGGGUAGCGAACAGGAUUAGAUACCCUGGUAGAAUCGA